AGAUGAGUAGCAUAGUGGCCUAAUGCAAUACCUAUAUCUUUCUAAGAUAUGGAGACAAGACAGAGGUUCGAAUCCUCUCUCAUCUU
rnacentral:tRNA from 1 species